GUGGAACUUGGGAUUCGAACGGCAGGCGGGAAGUGCUCUAGCAGGGGAGUCUGACCUUGUGAGGGAAUACCUGUGUCCCCCCUUUUUUCCCCUUUUUACCCAAUAAAACCCUGCCUUACUCACCCUUUAAAUCAUCUGCGAGCCUGAAUUUUCAUGGCCGUGGGACGGACAAGAACUUUAUCUUCAGCUGAACUAAGAAAAAGUCCUGCAACAUUUUUGGCGCGCAAUGUGGGGGCACCAGAAGCGGGCACCGUUGAGCUGUUGCAACUGUUCUGCUGAUUUCUAUCAUGGAAAAUAUCCCUGCAAGCAGUAACCACUAUUUGAAUGGUGAAAUCAGCAGCACAGCAAACAUGGUUCUUAAUGAGGAGCCUUAUGUAUGUGGUUGAAACCACCUGUACUACUGGAAUGAAAGCACCUUUACAGAAGAGGCAAUGCAAGUUGUAUUCAUCACAUGUGUAGAAUGAAUUAAGAUUUAUGCCAGUUGCAAAGAAGAAUAUUGGCUCACUAUUUUUCCUCUGGGCAUGUGGAAAUGUAAAUCAGUCCAUGUUACUCACCUCGGAGAAGCAGAAGUACGAUUUACUAUUGUUGCUUGCUUACUUACUCUUAUCAAUUUCUAUGAGAGGGGUACAAGCAAUUUUCCAGUCUUGACCCUUUAUCUGUUGACCAAGCUAAGGCAGAAACCAGCUAAAUUCUGGAUUUAAUCUUGAGCAGCAAAAAAGAUCAGCUUUUGAAGUGGAUCUGCUUUUAUUCUUGGCAAAAGUUCAGCGGAGACCAACCAGAGUGGUGACAAAGUUCUUCAACAUCAAGCCAAAUGUAAUACAAGGAAUUACGGAUAGUGCUUAAUCUAAAAUAAAGAAAUUCCACAUCUCCCUAAAAAGUUAUUGGCUUCAAGAAUGAAAACAAAAGAAGCAUAUUUGUCUCAAUCCAAACACAGACACCAGAAAGACAAACCAGGAGUAUACAGCAAAGUAGCUUGCAGGAUAAUACAUUGAAAAAUGUAAUUGUGCAUAAAUCAUGCACAAAGUAGAAACCACAAAUUCUGUAUUUGGCAAGGCUUCGGUUCCUUUGCAUAAUUCUUUCAUUUUCAUCUUGCUGCUUCCAUUCUCUUUUCAUCAAAAAAAGCUACAUAAAACAAAGACAUAAACUGUAUGCAAUUAAAAUGAGAAAAUAGCUGAAAGGAAUGUAUUGAUAAUUAUGUUAAAAUCUAUACCAUAAGUAUUCUUGCAUUGUUAAGCAUCUAAUUUUUCAUGUGUUGACAUCAGCAUCUCAGUUCUCUCUAACAUCUGAAAGCUUUUUUUUUUAAGGCAACUUCUUUUAGAGUGAACAAACUUAUGUACCACCGAGUUGACAAAAGUAUAACUAUAUCCUACAGAAAGAGACCUCAAGUAAACCUCCAGCAGCCAUCUGGACUUCCAUGAAAACAGAACAAUCAGUGAGAUGCAGAGCUUGGAGGAGACAGUUUCCAUAGACUGAAGCACGUGCUGAAGCAAAGUUCACACUUGCAGGAUUAGAAGAGGUUGACCGAAAGAAGGAAGGACAUGGACAGCUAUGUUGUUGUGGAGUCCUGUUUUAUAGUCAUAACCUUGAGUCAAGUGAGUUUGUCUGGACAGACAGAGCUUGUUGCCUUUACUUAUAGGGAAGGCACCGGACACAGACAGCCUCAAGGACAUUUGUUCUAGCCUUUCAGUAUCCUUUCUCUUAAUUAUCUCACCUCAUCCAUGAAGCUGGUAUGUACGAUUUUUCCUUUCUUUCUCAAUCCUUUAAAAAAUUAAAGCUCUAAAUCUCAUUUCCACUUAGAUUUUAAUGUUGCAUUGUAACUUAAGAUAAAACCUUGCUCUGAUGUUAAAAAUACUAAAGUAAGAAGCAAUAUGGCAUAGUGCUUAUGAGCAGGACUACAUAGUUCUUUCUGAAUACAAAUCUCAGAUAAAACACUAUCUCAGUGAUCAACCAGGUUAAGCAACCUUUUUAGUGCCUCAAUUAUUCCAUUUGUAAAAUUGUAAUAAUGAUAGUACUAACCUAUAAGAUUGUGGUGAGGAUUAAGUCAGAUAAUACAAAAGAAGCAUUUAGAGUAUUUCCUGGCAUUAUCUACCAUUUAUUGAAUUUUUAUGGUUAAGAAGAAUAAGGAAAAGCAGAAGAAAAGGAAAAGAGAAAAAAUACAUAAGAAGAAGGAAGAGUGGUAAGCUCUAGUAAAUUACAACAAACGGUAACGUAGAAAACAUUUGUUAGCCCUUAAUAUAGGCCAGGCACUGUGUUCAAUGCUUAAACCUCAUUACUGUUCUUUGAAGUGGAUAACAUUAUUCCUUCCAUUUUAAAGAAAGGAAUACUAAAGACAACUUUGUCAAUAUUAUUCAUGUAAUAAAUGACAGAAUUUGACCAAGACAAUAGAGAAUGAACUCUUAAUCACUAUAUUGUUUUAUUUUUUGAAAAUAGAUUUUAAGUUCUUAUUAAAUGUUAAUGACUCACAUCAAAAUAAAGCCAAUCAAAAUUGACAGCAAU
rnacentral:lncRNA from 10 species